rnacentral:snRNA from 1 species
GUGCUUGCUUUGGCAGCACAUAUACUAAAAUUGGAACGAUACAGAGAUUAGCAUGGCCCCUGUGCA